UUCGGAUUGGGCGAAAGCCUGACCGAGCAACGCCGCGUGAAUGAUGAAGGCCUUCGGGUUGUAAAAUUCUGUUAUAAGGGAAGAACGACUUUAGUAGGAAAUGGCUAAAGUGUGACGGUACCUUAUGAGAAAGCCACGGCUAACUACGUGCCAGCAGCCGCGGUAAUACGUAGGUGGCAAGCGUUAUCCGGAAUUAUUGGGCGUAAAGAGCGCGCAGGUGGUUGAUUAAGUCUGAUGUGAAAGCCCACGGCUUAACCGUGGAGGGUCAUUGGAAACUGGUCGACUUGAGUGCAGAAGAGGGAAGUGGAAUUCCAUGUGUAGCGGUGAAAUGCGUAGAGAUAUGGAGGAACACCAGUGGCGAAGGCGGCUUCCUGGUCUGUAACUGACACUGAGGCGCGAAAGCGUGGGGA
rnacentral:rRNA from 1 species